rnacentral:ncRNA from 1 species
UUUUUACUUAACUUAUACAUGCAAGUCUCCGCACCCCUGUGAAAACGCCCUUAAACCCCUAACAGGGGUAAGGAGCCGGUAUCAGGCACAACUAUUAGCCCAAGACACCUAGCCAUGCCACACCCACAAGGGCACUCAGCAGUAAUUAACAUUGAACAUAAGCGCCAGCUUGAUUCAGUUAAAGUAAAAAGGGCAGGCAAAUGUGGUGCCAGCCGCCGCGGUUACACCAUGAGGCCCAAAUUGACUUCUUUCGGCGUAAAGAGUGAUUAAAGGAACACUUAAACUGUAGUUAAAUUAUUAUUAAGUAGUGAUAAGCUUAUAUAUAAGAAACCCAAAAACGAAAGUUACUACACCUAAAUCAACUUGAAUUCACAAUAGCUAUGACACAAACUAGGAUUAGAUACCCUACUAUGCUUAGCCCCAAACUCUUAAUUACACCCUAAACGCCCGGGAACUACGAGCAAAGCUUAAAACCCAAAGGACUUGACGGUGCCCCACAUCCCCCUAGAGGAGCCUGUCCUAUAAUCGAUAACCCCCGUUUUACCUCACCAUUUUUAGCAAGAUCAGUCUGUAUACCUCCGUCGUCAGCUUACCACCUGAGUGCUCUAUAGUAAGUCUAAUGUCCUUUACACUCGUCAAUACGUCAGGUCAAGGUGCAACUAAUAAAAUGGAAAGAGAUGGGCUACACUCUCUAAUAUAGAAUAUACAGAAAACAACAUGAAAACUAGUUUAAAGGUGGAUUUAGUAGUAAAAAAAGAUCAGAGAGCUUUUUUUAACAAGGCCCUGGGGCGUGUACACACCGCCCGUCACCCUCUUCGCAAACAUAUAAUAGUAUUUUACUCAAUACAGCAAAGUAGAAGAGGUAA